CACUGGUCGAGUCGGCCUGCGCGGAAGAUGUAACGGGGCUAAACCAUGCACCGAAGCUGCGGCAGCGACACUAUGUGUUGUUGGGUAGGGGAGCGUUCUGUAAGCCUGUGAAGGUGUACUGUGAGGUAUGCUGGAGGUAUCAGAAGUGCGAAUGCUGACAUAAGUAACGAUAAAGCGGGUGAAAAGCCCGCUCGCCGGAAGACCAAGGGUUCCUGUCCAACGUUAAUCGGGGCAGGGUGAGUCGACCCCUAAGG
rnacentral:rRNA from 1 species